UCGGCCGGGGAUUUUAAUUAAAAUUUCUCCCGAAAUCUUUUGAGCUAGCAUGAAUUUGUUUAGAACUUUACUGUUUUGUGUUUCAAUACAUUUAGGAAAAUUUUUGUUAGUGGCUACAUACCAUACGCAAAAGAUGAUAGCUGGUUUCUUACUAUUUUCGCAUUAGCGUUUAAAAACUAGAUCUUUCUAGUUUUUUAGAAUUUAAGGGUAAAGCUCUUUUUUCUACUCAACAUAAGUAAAAGUAUAAUAUUUAUGUAGGCUUUAAAGCAGCCCCCAUAUCUAAUUAAAGCGUUAUAGCUAUAGGUUUUAAGAUACUUAAAUCAAAAUAAUGUGUGUGAGUUUACUAGUAAGAUACUUAAUUUAAAUUUAGUAAUAAAGGUGAUUUUGCUAAGAUUAGUAUUAAUAUAGGUUUUAUUAAAAAAUUGUGAAAAAAAUUAAAAAGAGUAUUAACUUUAAUUUGGGGGAAGGAACUCGGCAAAAUUUUAACCUCGACUGUUUAACAAAAACAUUGCUUCAUGAAAAUAGAAUAUGAGGUUUACUCUGCCCGGUGACUUGCGAGUUAAACGGCCGCGGUACCCUGACUGUGCUAAGGUAGCGUGAUAAUUCGCCCUUUAAUUGUGGGCUUGUACGAAUGGGUUAACGAGGGUUAAGCUGUCUCCUCUUUAUCAGUAGAAAUUAAUUUUUAGGUGAAAAGGCCUAAAUAAAGUCACAGGACAAAAAGACCCCAUAGAGCUUUGUUUUAUUAAAAUUUAGUGGAGGAAUUACUAAUAUUUUCUAUUAUAUUUUAUAUAACUUAACUGGGGCGGUUGAGGAAAAUUUUUAUCUUCUUUUUAUUAUUCGUUUAUGAGACUCACAUUUUUGAUCCUAUUUUAGAUUUAAGAAAAGCUACCUUGGGGGUAACAGACUAAUUUUUUUUGAGAGUUCGUAUUGACAAAAAAGAAAAAAGUAC
rnacentral:rRNA from 1 species